GAAGACAUCUCUGGUUACAUGUGUACGGACACAUGAAUCGUAUCUCUAAAUAGCUCCAAUUAGGCUGUGUGGAAAUGCCUCAGAGAUGCCUUCUUCCUUUCCCACAAUAACUUUCCAGAAGACAGAACAUCUUGCUGUCUGGACACGUUAAACCUUUGGAUGAGAAUAGGUUGGCAAGAUCCAGAAGACAAUGAACUGGCCAAAACUCUGAAUGAUAUUCCAGUUUCCCCUCCAUUAUGAUGUCUGGUUGAUGAUUCAAUACUGCCAUUUAAGAGGACAUCACAGCAGGUCCAGACCUUUGGUACAUGUGCUUAGCCAAGAAGCCAAUGGGGGGAAAUGACAUGGGAUCUUCAGAGGUUUCAAUGUGGAUCUGAUGAUUUCAGGCAUUCAGGCAAACGGCUUCCCAUCUGAAACUGAGCUCUAUGAGACUGGCUGUCUGGACUACAUAACCUCUUGGCCAGAUGCCGGCAGAGUAAGAAAUGCGCAAACUCAGUCAAGGUGGCAAUCAUUGGAUCAACACCACACAAAACAAAAAGGAAUUUGAUACAGAACUUCAAGGCAACCUGAUAGAAAGGAGCAACUAAUUGACUUGAGAGAGUCAUCAAUAUGAGGAAUCGGCUACAGAAUUUUCAACAUCAGAAGGACUGAUCUGGAUACUGUUGCAAAGUGUAUUGCAGAUGUGAGAAUCACUCCUGCUUCUCAUAAUGAAAUAACACUGGAAUGAAGAUUAUUGGAUCUUGGUGAGAGUGGAUGACAUCUACAUGUCAUCACAUCAUUUGUUACUUUGUUAGUGGGGACAAAAUAUAAUUCAGGGGCAUCAUGUUGAGUAGAUUGCAAAUUGUUAGGAACGAAAAGUGGUGCAUGGCCGGGAUUUGUAUGUUUAAAACUGUAUUUUUAUAUGGUGCUAUAUUUUUAGCAGAAGAGUGGAAGAUAAUUCAUUCUUUUAAUUGCACGUAUGUACGUGCGGGUGUGGAGUUGAAGCAAAAUAUUAAGCACAAGCUCAGGUGCCAGAUGCUGCCUCUGGUUCCAAUUUUUCAAUCCAGUGUGUCAUAUACAUGGGAUCAAAAUACACAAGAAACGAAGAUGUGGCAAGUCUCCUAUUUCAGAUACUGCUUUGGCAGGGUGGGCUUCACAUGGUGUGCGCGCUUGACAAUGGUGGUCUGUAGGCACACCCUUAAUGAGUGUGGUGCGUCUG